AUACGUAGGGGGCGAGCGUUGUCCGGAAUGACUGGGCGUAAAGGGCGUGUAGGCGGUUGUCUAAGUCUGGAGUGAAAGUCCUGCUUUCAAGGUGGGAAUAGCUUUGGAUACUGGAUGACUUGAGUGCGGAAGAGGUAAGUGGAAUUCCCAGUGUAGCGGUGAAAUGCGUAGAGAUUGGGAGGAACACCAGUGGCGAAGGCGACUUACUGGGCCGUAACUGACGCUGAGGCGCGAAAGCGUGGGGAGCUAACAGGAUUAGAUACCCUGGUAGUCCACACUGUAAACGAUGAAUGCUAGGUGUAAGAGGUAUCGACCCCUUUUGUGCCGGAGUCAACACAAUAAGCAUUCCGCCUGGGGAGUACGGCCGCAAGGUUGAAACUCAAAUGAAUUGACGGGG
rnacentral:rRNA from 1 species